rnacentral:rRNA from 1 species
UACGAAGGAUGCGAGCGUUAUCCGGAUUUAUUGGGUUUAAAGGGAGCGUAGGCGGUCUUAUAAGUCAGUGGUGAAAUCUCUCGGCUUAACCGAGAACGUGCCAUUGAUACUGUAGGACUUGAGUACAGAUGCCGUUGGCGGAAUGUGUCAUGUAGCGGUGAAAUGCAUAGAUAUGACACAGAACACCGAUUGCGAAGGCAGCUGACGAAACUGUAACUGACGCUGAGGCUCGAAAGCGUGGGGAUCAAACAGG